UUCCCCUAUAAUUUCGAACAUUUGUCAGUUAUGCCUCAGACAAUUGCCAAGAAAAGUCAGUUACAGUACAGUGAAAGAAAAUCAAAGAAAAAAGAGGUAAAUUUAAGAAAAUUUAGGUCCCAAAGAUCACAAGUUAGUCACUUAAUCGUAUUCUCUUCAAAAAUAGAAUCCCCCUACAUGAAAAUCAGCAAGAUCACUCAUUUCAGACGUUUGACGAUUCCCAAACAAAGACACAAUUGACCACUGAGGAAGACGCACAGUAGCGUCGAAAGCUCUGGCCCCUAAAAUUGAAAGGAUGUGUUUGGGUUGACCUACCGUCCCUUGGCUGACGCAAUUCGGAAGGAUUUAUCCUAAAUCAUCAAAACAUUAAAAU